UUUUUUUUUUUGGGUUCACUCUCUAGUUUGCCUUCAAUUCAUGCUAAAUAUUUUAUAUGGAAUUAGACUUGGGUUAUUGCUGCAGAGUUGUGUUGCCAAUUUAAACCUGAACUUCCAAUUCUUAUUGGCUCUCUCAAUUUUUUGCUUGAGAUUGAGACCAGUUCGGUUUAAAACAUUAAAUGUUUGUUUGGUUCAGCUUAUUUUGAAGAAAUAAUUGUUUAUUUUUCAUCGCUUAUUUUUGUUAGUUUCCUUAGAGAGAUUUUGAAAUAUAAGGAAUUAUUUCCACAAAAUUAAUCUAUAUGAAACAUGCACCAAGGGAAACAUUUUAUAAAGUCAGGAGAAUGGAAGCCCAAUUUAAUGCUUCAACUGUGAAGUUGUAAGAGGUAGAAUUAGAGUGUUCUUAGGAAUUGACCAUACCUUUCAUGCAGUAAGAUAAACUUUUGUUUCUAAUGUGGAUCAAGAGAAAUCUGAAUCUGUGGCUGCUGACACAGUUCCUAAUAAUGACACUAUUCUCAGAGACUCUAAUGUAAAAGAUGAUUCUAAUGUGAACAGAGAAAACCAGGAGGAUCAUAAAACUGACAACUCCCCCAAAAAAGUACAGGAUCAACUUGAGGAGUUGGUACAUAGGCUCAAGGAUUGCUAAAAACAACAAAAUCUACUUGUCAGUCUAAAGAAGCAAGGUUAGCUCGGGUUUGUGCUGGAUUAUCAUCCCGCCUUCAAGAAUACAAAUCUGAAAAUGCACAGUUGGAGGAACUUCUUGUUGCAGAGGUGAAACAUUAUCACUAUCUCCUGUUCAAAGGAAUAAAAGGUCUCAUCAUAUGCUUGAAAUAGAAACAUAUUGACUAUUGUAUCAAUUAAUUAUUUCUAAAUCUAUAGAGAGCUGAGUAAAUCAUACGAGGCUAGCAUAAAACAGCUACAGAAUGAUUUGUCUGAAGGUAAAAGGGAGGUGACAAGAGUUGAAUCAAAUAUGGUUGAGGCCUUGGCAGCAAAAAAUGCUGAAAUUGAGGCACUGCUAAGUUUUAUGGAAGCGGUUAAGAGGCAGGCUGCAUUGUCAGAAGGAAGUCUAGCUUCCAUGCAGGUUCCUCUUAGUUAAUUUAUUGAAGCGUGCCCUACAGUAUUUUAUUUGCUUCCAUGCAACUUCUGUUUCUACCUAAACUAUUUUUGGUGCAAUUUGCUUUGAUCUUGUGGAAGGCUUUUUUUUAAAAUGAAUAAUGAACAAGUUGGACUUGCUUUGAUGUUGGCAUCUAUUAGAGAAGUCACUUUAUGUUUAGCAUGCACAUUUACAUUUAUAUUACGUUGUCAUUUCAUUAUAAUUUCCUUUACAUUUCUUCUGUUAGAGUUAGUUAGCUUGUCAGUUAGUUUGUUAGCUUCUGACUUAGCAAUGAGUCGUACAGUUCAGCUAUAAGGUUGCCCUCUCUGUACAUUUUCUUCUAUGAAAAAUUUACAGUUCAGUGUAUC